AAUUUACAUCUUUUAGUCAGAAGAGAGACCAACUUCCCUUAGGAUGAUACAGUGUCAUUCCUGGUUCUCUUUCUGGAAAUACGGUGUAUAUCGGAGGACAAAGCAAACCAGGGACGCCUUGUCUUGGAAUCAUACCAUCAACAAGCUGAAAUACAAAUUGAAAGGAGAUGGCUGUGCAGCAUGAAGUGAUGUGGUGUGGAGACUGCUGAGGCAAGGCUGCAAUGGAGUGCUCUGGGUCCAGAAGGACUAUCUGUUUUCUACUGCUUUUCAGAGCUAAUUAAAUGGGAUUUAGCUUCUUUUCCCCAAGCCGGUACCACUAGUGUCAGUUUUCCUGGAUAAAUGAAUUGAAUCAGUUCACAAGUGAAGAGCGGAAGUUAUGUUAAUAAUGAGCAAAAAGUUUAAUUCCACUGCAACCUGUUCUGAUUCCUAUAUUAUUUCAAUGACCUGUACCCUAGGAAGUCAGAGAAGAAGAAAGUGCCAUAGUCUGUUAAUGAUGCCAGUAGAUCCUCUGCAGAACAUCUUCCUCUGCAGUAAAAUUCACUCCUCCUGGUUGUUACCAGUUCUACCCAAUUACUCUUUUCAUUCUCACCAGUGCUGCUGAACUGGUGCAGAAAAUACUUUGACUGGGACUUAUGUGAAGUAAUAAGGAAGAACAGUUUCUGGACAAAUAAAUAUUUGGCGUUUUGCAAGCUUCUGUAAAGAAACGAGGAGGUGAGAUUAGCUGUAAAUGAAGAUAAGAGCUGCUGCUUUGAAAUGGGCAACGGAGCAAGCACAUUCCUUUGCAGUACACAGGAAUCAGUCACUUCUGUGGUCUC